GUGCUUGCUUCGGCAGCACGCCUACUAAAAUUGGAAUGAUAAAAGAUUAGCAUGGCCCCUGCGCAAGAAUAAUACGCAAAUUUGUGAAGCGUUCCAUAUUAAA
rnacentral:snRNA from 1 species